GACGAACGCUGGCGGUGCGCCUUAUGCAUGCAAGUCGAGCGAAGCUUUUCAGUAGUUUACUACAGAAAAUGACUGAGCGGCGAACGGGUGAGUAACGCGUGAGCAAUCUACCUUAGUUACAGGGAUAGCCCGAGGAAACUCGGAUUAAUACCUGAUAUUCUUUAUAUUUCGCAUGAAAUUAAAAGGAAAGGUCAGCCGAACUAAGAUGAGCUCGCGUUCUAUCAGCUAGUUGGUGAGGUAAAAGCUCACCAAGGCUACGACGGAUAGCUGGUCUGAGAGGACGAUCAGCCACACUGGGACUGAGACACGGCCCAGACUCCUACGGGAGGCUGCAGCAGGGAAUAUUGCGCAAUGAGCGAAAGCUUGACGCAGCGACACCGCGUGUGGGAUGACGGAUCUAGGUUUGUAAACCACUUUCAGGAGGGAAGAAAAUGACGGUACCUCCACAAGAAGCCCCGGCCAACUACAUGCCAGAGGG
rnacentral:rRNA from 1 species